AGAGAGCAGCCGGGGCUGCGGAGCUGGAGCUGGAGUCACAGCCGGAGCCCGCGGCAGAGUCGGAAUCCGGGGUCGGGCUGGAGCGGGGUCCAUCGACAUGGGAUCCGCAGACUCCAAGCUGAACUUCCGGAAGGCGGUGAUCCAGCUGACCACCAAGACGCAGGUGCGCCUGGGGGCCCAGCCUCUUCAUCCACCUGCCGGCCCUGGGGGCAGGGCAGGGCCGGGGGGGCUGGGUGAACACGGUUCACCCGAGGGUGGGGUGACCGGCUAAUCCAGAGGGGGAUGCUGAAACAAGCACCGGAACGGGACUUUUCCUUUGUAACUAGGGCUCCAUCCCUGCCUCUGGGAGCCCACCCUAUGCCUACUCUCCCCUGGGAACACUCUCCCGGGCACUGCUGCUGCUGCCACCUUAGGCUGACGUGUGCCUACUCCUGGAGCCGGCGGCGACAACGUUAUCCGCCCCCUGUCCCGCCCCCCCGGUGCCCGCAGCCUCGCUUAGCCAGCCUCUUCCCGCUCCCACCUACCCAUCCAUCGCCCCGCUGGUCUCCCUGCCCCUCAGUGCCCAUGGUCCCGGACAUACAGCCCCGGCUGACUCAAUGCAAACAAAGCCGGGCCGGCGCCUGCCUGGGUUGGGGAAAACAGCUGGUGCGCGAUGGCAGCGGUGGCAGCGGUGGCCUCUCUGGGCCCUGGCUGAUGCCUGAGGGUAGGGAAGGCCCAGGUCUUCCUGGGAGCUCAUAGAGUGGCAGGCAGCGGCAGCUGGGUAAGAGGAGCUGUCCUCAGGCCUAGGGAAGCCAGCUUUCCAGCUAGUGAUGAUCCAGGGGCUUCUCCAGGCCCGGUGGAGCUGAUUGGCUGUGCUUUUUGGCACCCGGAAUAGGGAUUGGGGUUUCGGGGAUGAGGAGAUUAUCAUUGGUCUGUUGGAGAGGGAGCCAUGGGUAACUCCAGUCCACACUCCCCCCCCCCAUCCCCCGUGUCUACAAGUGUCACAGAAGCUGCCUCCUACCUUCAGCACACACCUCUUGACCCAGCAAGGUUCCUUCCCUGUCGUCCCUUCAAUCUUUAUUUCUGGAAACCAGGCUACUCUGGUUAUGGAGAUACCAGCAGCCUCUCCAAGGCCCUGCCUGUCAAAGGGCUCUGGACCUACUGCCAUCUGGAACCCCACCCCCAUCCGACUGUUCUCAGAGCUCUAUAUUGUUCUUGGCCAGUGUGAGUGGGAUCAGGAGAGCUGCCUACCCACAACCAGCCAGUCACAGCCUCAGAGAGCCGACCACUACUCCCACACCCUGUUACCCACCUUGGGAAGGUCAGAGGCCGAGGAAAGGAAUGCCAGGGCCUCUAGAGAGCCUGUUUCUAUCUGAGGGGCACUUGGCGGAAACCAGAACUGCUUCUCUUUGCUUCCUGUGGCUUGUUCCAGAACCUCAGACGUGAGACUCUCCAUCAGUGGGUAGCAGGAAAGGGUGGUGUGUGGUAUUUUGCACAGUGUAGGGUGGUGAGAGCUGGGGGAGCGUCUCCCAUGUUUGCCCUGCCUGGGGAGGGGCUGGCUUGCUGGAAGAUGGUUUGGUGGGCUGAGCAGGUCCUUUAGCAGCAGGAUUAAACCAGCUCUAGAAAGGUGGGCAGUGACCUGCUUAGGAACCCUCCCCCUGAAUACUACAUCAGUAGGUUUGUACCUGGUUGAGAUAGUCUGUUCUCAGAUGAAGACAGUUGCUUGGAUCAGGGUCUAGAAUAGAUUGGAGACCCAGUGUGGACUACUCCCCUUCUUCCUCCCCCAUCUUCCUCUUCCUCCUCCCCCUUCUCUUAUCUCUCUUCUUCCUCUCCCAUCUGUCUCCUUCUUUUCAGUUUAUAUUAUUAUUAUUUUUGGUGUGUGUGUGUGUGUAUACAUGUGUAUCAUGUAUAUACAUGAAGGUCAGAGGACAACAAUGGGAGUCAGUUCUCUUCUUCCACUAUGUGGGCCCUAGGGAUGGAACUUAGGUUAGGCUUGGCAGCAAGCACAAAUUAUGUUUACCAAGCAUUUUUACCAAGUGCCUUUACUGCUGAGCCAUUCACUAGCCUGUGGGCCUUCUCAUAAGCAUGGGACUCUCACAAGUGGGUGGGGGCCAAAGCCUUGGACUCUAGUGAUCAGCUUUGAGCAGCUGGGAUUCAAGAAUCUGGUCCGAAAAGGUCUUCCUGGACCUUCGAACUCAGUAUCCCCAAGGGGCUGCAGAUGUGAUGGCCACAGGAUGACCUCACUUCUAAGCCCUCCGAGGCUGUGCUUUGAGCAGUAGACAAGUGGACCUUACUGUAGCCUGGGUCUGAGCUCUUGCAGGUCAGCCUUCCCUGCCUUCCUGCCCUGCAUCCUGUUUUCUUCCUGCCCUAUUAGCCAGCCCUGGGCAGGGCUUAACCCUAACUCUGAGACCAGCCACAUUCUUGACUCUUUCCUCACUUGGCUGGGGCCCCAGAGUGGGGCACUACAGGAUCAGAGACUCUCCCCCAGAUUCUGUUCAUUGAGGAUGCUCUGCUGCAGGCUAGGGUAAGAGCUGAUAGGUGUGUGUUCACACGCAUGCAUGUGUGUGAGCCUAGAAUAAUACUUUGAUCACCUGUCAGGACAUAUCGUCCUUAUUGGGCUAGCUCAAUGCUGGUUUUACCCCUUACCACUCCCACCCUAGAAGGAGACUGUGACAACCCCAGCUUGGGGCUGGAGAGAUGGUUCAGUGGUUAAGAGGGCUCCAGCUACUCUUUCAGAUGAAGAGUUUGGUUCACAGCACCCACGUUGGGGUGGCUCACAACUACCUGUGAGCUCUGGGGAGAUCCAACACCUUCUGGCCUCUAGGGGCAGCCUCAUGUAUGUGUACACGCAGAGAGAGACACAUAUGC
rnacentral:lncRNA from 1 species